AGUAUCCGAAAAUAACUGAAGGGUCGUAAGUUGGGUAGCUAAUUACACGUACAUCACCACCACCAGGUGCCCAUGUAUCAUAAACUCCACCAAAGUACAUAGCUUUCCAAACAAGAAGCCAAGCACCAAUUCCAAGAAGUACAAGGUGAAUUCCUAAAAUUGUUGUCAUUUUGUUCUUGUCUUUCCA
rfam:Ostreococcus tauri chloroplast, complete genome.